GGGGGGGGGCAAGCGUUGUUCGGAAUUACUGGGCGUAAAGGGCGCGCAGGCGGCCUGACAAGUCCCUCGUGAAAUCCCACAGCUCAACUGUGGAACUGCGGGGGAUACUGCCGGGCUUGAGUCCGGGAGAGGAGAGUGGAAUUCCCAGUGUAGCGGUGAAAUGCGUAGAUAUUGGGAGGAACACCGGUGGCGAAGGCGGCUCUCUGGACCGGUACUGACGCUGAGGCGCGAAAGCUAGGGGAGCAAACGGGAUUAGAUACCCCGGUAGUCCUAGCUGUAAACGUUGAGCACUUGGUGUGGCGGGUAUCGACCCCUGCCGUGCCGAAGCUAACGCAUUAAGUGCUCCGCCUGGGGAGUACGGUCGCAAAGGCUGA
rnacentral:rRNA from 1 species